AUUGAACGCUAGUGGCAUGCUUAACACAUGCAAGUCGAACGGCAGCACGAGGAGCUUGCUCCUUGGUGGCGAGUGGCGGACGGGUGAGUAACGCGUAGGAAUCUGCCUUAUAGAGGGGGAUAACCCGGGGAAACUCGGGCUAAUACCGCAUAAUCUCUACGGAGCAAAGUGGGGGAUCUUUGGACCUCACGCUAUUAGAUGAGCCUGCGUCGGAUUAGUUUGUUGGUGGGGAAUGGCCUACCAAGACUACGAUCCGUAGCUGGUCUGAGAGGACGACCAGCCACACUGGGACUGAGACACGGCCCAGACUCCUACGGGAGGCAGCAGUGGGGAAUAUUGGACAAUGGGGGAAACCCUGAUCCAGCAAUGCCGCGUGUGUGAAGAAGGCCU
rnacentral:rRNA from 1 species